AUGCCAUGGUGUGGACAUUCCCUCUGUAGGUCUUUAUACCUCUCCCAUGCAUCAUAAAGUGAUUCACCUUCCUUUUUGUUUGAAGGUAUUAAGUUCAACUCUCAACUU